rnacentral:rRNA from 1 species
GACGAACGCUGGCGGCGUGCCUAAUACAUGCAAGUCGAGCGAAUCUUUAGGAGCUUGCUCCUGAAGAUUAGCGGCGGACGGGUGAGUAACACGUGGGCAACCUGCCUGUAAGACUGGGAUAACUUCGGGAAACCGGAGCUAAUACCGGAUAAUCCUUUCCUUCACAUGAAGGAAAGCUGAAAGACGGUUUCGGCUGUCACUUACAGAUGGGCCCGCGGCGCAUUAGCUAGUUGGGGAGGUAACGGCUCACCAAGGCGACGAUGCGUAGCCGACCUGGGAGGGUGAUCGGCCACACUGGGACUGAGACACGGCCCAGACUCCUACGGGAGGCAGCAGUAGGGAAUCUUCCGCAAUGGACGAAAGUCUGACGGAGCAACGCCGCGUGAGCGAAGAAGGCCUUCGGGUCGUAAAGCUCUGUUGUCAGGGAAGAACAAGUACCGGAGUAACUGCCGGUACCUUGACGGUACCUGACCAGAAAGCCACGGCUAACUACGUGCCAGCCGCCGCCGUAACAC